CAGAGUAGGCAGUUCGGCGUUAAGUGCCGUAUAAACGGGGAGUUGUUAUACGGACGAAGCGGUUUCGCGCGGUCGAAUUGUCGCAUCCCGCUG
rnacentral:ncRNA from 1 species